UAAGACAGAGGGUGCAAACGUUGUUCGGAAUUACUGGGCGUAAAGCGCGUGUAGGCGGCUUGGCAAGUCGGGUGUGAAAGCCCCGGGCUCAACCUGGGAAGUGCACUCGAAACUGCUUGGCUUGAGUACUGGAGAGGGAAGCGGAAUUCUCGGUGUAGAGGUGAAAUUCGUAGAUAUCGAGAGGAACACCGGUGGCGAAGGCGGCUUCCUGGACAGUUACUGACGCUGAGACGCGAAAGCGUGGGGAGCAAACAGGAUUAGAUACCCUGGUAGUCCACGCCGUAAACGAUGGGUGCUAGGUGUCGCGGGCAUUGACCCCUGCGGUGCCGUAGCUAACGCAUUAAGCACCCCGCCUGGGGAGUACGGCCGCAAGGCUA
rnacentral:rRNA from 1 species